rnacentral:rRNA from 1 species
CUUGACAUUGGGUCUUGGUACUACAUGUACAGGAUAGGUGGGAGGCUUUGAAACCAGGACGCCAGUUUUGGCGGAGCCAUCCUUGGGAUACCACCCUUGUAGUCCUGGGACUCUAACCAUAGGCCAUGAAUCUGGUCUUGGGACACUGUCAGGUGGGCAGUUUGACUGGGGCGGUCGCCUCCCAAAAGGUAACGGAGGCGCUCAA